GAUGAAGAACGCAGUGAAAUGCGAUAAGUAGUGUGAAUUGCAGAAUUCAGUGAAUCAUCGAAUCUUUGAACGCACAUUGCGCCCGGUAGUAUUCUGCCGGGCAUGCCUGUUCGAGCGUCAUUUCAACCAUCAAGCCCCAGCGCUUGUGUUGGGGACCUGCGGCUGCCGCAGGCCCUGAAAACCAGUGGCGGGCUCGCUAGUCACUCCGAGCGUAGUAAUACAUCUCGCUCAGGGCGUGCUGCGGGUUCCGGCCGUUAAAAAGCCUUAUUUACCCAAGGUUGACCUCGGAUCAGGUAGGAAGACCCGCUGAACUUAAGCAUAUCAAUAAGCGGAGGA
rnacentral:misc_RNA from 1 species